rnacentral:lncRNA from 1 species
UUUUGAAAGUUAAUUAUAUAUAUAUAUAGAUAUAGACACAAACAAUAAACAACGAGUUCAAGAUACACAGGUAAGAAGUUCAAGAAAAUUGAUUGCAGAAAAAGGUCACAGAUAUGUUUACAAUCUCUAUCUUUCCUGAAAUUUGUACCAUGGACUUAUUCUUGCAAGAAAAGAACAUGCUAAACUGAUCAGACGGAAGAAGCCAAAGCAUCGGAGUAGAUAAAUAGCAUGACCAACAAGAUCACAAUCUUAGAUAUUCAUCAUGGGCAAUUCCUUUUGUAGACAUUACACUUUUCUGGAUUCUUACCAGAGCCUCCGAAGGGCGCACAGGAACGAUAACCAAUAUAGUCCCUACAAACUCGUUUAUUGACGACUGGCCUAUUUUUAUUAAAAACCUUGGAAUUGAUCAAAGGAUUGCCCUCAGCAAGCAUUCUGGCGGUGAUGGUGGCAAAUUGCGACUCCAGUUGAUGGAGAAUGGGGCAGUCUUGUAGGGAGCCAUCACAAAGAGACAUGGUCUCAUUGGAGUUUCUUACAGCUGCAAUGCUAAGAUGUUCAUGCAGCAUAAUCAUCACAACCCAUAACAACAAACGGGCUGCUGAUUGCUUCUUCAUGCUUCUCAUCACUUCUACACUGUAAUGGACAUCCAAUAUCUACC